GGGCAUUAUGGCUAACCCCCCCACCAGGUGGGUACUUGGUCUAAGGAGGCAUUCUAUGAUGGACAUCUGUGGGGAGCUAAUGUGAUGGGAGAGAUAGGAAGACAACCCUUAACUUUCUUGUAGGCCAGGGUGGGAGAAAACUUUGUUCCCUACCUCAGGAGGGAAAAUUUGCCUCUUUUCCCCAUUGUCACCCAAGGUAGGAACCUGUAAUCAGUCAAAAUAUUCCUGCAACAAAAUGAUUUCCUCUGUGGGAUUAAAAAGACCACAAAUAGCCUCAUAGAUCAGAAUUAACAGCUGUCAACCUGUUCUUUCUGAAUAUCAGGAGAUUAUUACGGUAAUUCAGCUGUGGGAGGCCCAAGGACCACAGCAGUUUUCUAUUGCCACAGUCCCUAAUAAAAUUCCAGAGUUGAGGUUCAAAGCACCACACUCUUGGUUUUUGGAAUUGAAGCCAAGUCUUUGUACACGACAAGCAUGUACCCUACCACUGACACUCCUGUCUUCAAAUAGCGAAUGCGCAUUCUUUGGUUUUUGGAAUUGAAGCCAGGUCUUUGUACUCGGCAAGCAUGUACCCUACCACUGACACCCCUGUCCUCAAAUAGCUAAUGUUAUAGGCCCCUUCUUAGUCUCCUGUUUUGAUUUGGCCAAGAACCCACGCCCAGAAACUAGAAAUUCCCACUCAAAGGUUCUCAAGGUUUGCAAAGACUUCAGUCCCUGGAUCUUGCCUCUUAAAAACCUUGGUGUAGGACUGAGGUUGUGGCUCAGUGAUAGAGCCCUUGCCUAGCACAUGUGGGGCACUGGGUUCCAUCUUAAGCACCACAUAAAGUCUAAAAAUAAUAGGUAUAAAUACCUUUUUUGGGGGGGGUACUGGGAAUUGAACAUAGGAGCACUGUACCGCUGACUACCACUGUUUUAAACACUGCCUUCCUCUAAGAUCUUUUGAAGAUUCAGAAUAAUCACAAUGGCUUUCAAAUUCAAAGCCCUGUCUCCCCACCCUACUUUGAUAGAAAUCAUUGUUUUCAGACCCUACCUUGCACCUUAAUUUCUCCUCUGCUUCCCUUUCAACAUGCACAAAAUGAAAAUACUAGUCCCCAUUUCGCAAAUUAGUUACUGUGUCAGAUGUACAAUGUUUAUAAUAGACUAGAUCUCUGAUAUUGCCCCUAUAUUUUGGUCCACAUUCUGGGAUUAGGUAAUAUGGAAACAUUUUUAUGGAAACAAACAGCUGUUUAUAGAAGUUUUGGUGAAUAGUUAAGGUAUGUAUAAACAUUUGUAACAAGUGUUUUGCCACUCAUUCCUGCUUAUCAAGAUACCUGCCACUGCUGGCCCAGCUACAUUUUUUCCUCAGCUAACACACAGAACCACCAGGGCACAAAAAUCUGAGUCGGGUGUAGUGGCACAUGCUGGGAUAACAACCAGGCUGAGGCAGAAGGAACAUGAGUCCAAAGCCAGCCUCACCAAAAGCAAGGCACUAAGCAACUCAGACCUUGUCUCUAAAUAAAAUACAAAAUAGGGCUGUGGAUGUGGCUCAGUGGUCAAGUGCCCCUGAGUUCUAUAUCUGGCAAAAAAACCCCAUUCCUGCCCCCCCCCCCCAAAAAAAAAAAAGCCCUGAACUACUGUUUUCAAAAAAAAAGUUUUGGUACUGGGGAUUUAGUGCAGGUAUGCCUUUACCACUGAGCUGCCUUUGAAUUUGCGAUACACCUGCCUCAGCCUUCUAAGCCACUGAGAUUAUACGUGUGUGUCACUCCACCCAGCUCCAGUAAAAUAAGUUGUGAAAAACUUCAGGUAAUUAACACCCAAUUUUUUUCUUGCCACCAAAUUUGAAAAUUGCAAAGUAACUCAGUGAGACCCUGUCCCAAUACAAAAAAGGGCUGGGGAUGUGGCUCAGUGGUUAAGUGCCUCUGAGUUUAAUCCCCAGUAAGCCCCUCCCCAAAGUAGGUGUUUUUUAAAUAUUUUUUUAAUUGAACACAAUACCUUUUAUUUAUUUUUAUGGGGAGCUGAGGAUUGAACCCAGUGCCUCACAUGUGCAAGGCGAGUGCUCUACUGCUGAGCCACAACCUUAGCCCCCAAAGUAGCUAUAUUUGAGUCUUACUGAAGAAAUACUAGUGUGUGGUUAUCUUAUGACAGAUUUUUUUUUAAGAGAGGAUUUUUAAAAUAUUUUUAGUUUUUGCUGGAUACAACAUCUUUUAUUUUUAUGUGGUGCUGAGGAUCGAACCCAGCGCCCUGUGCAUGCCAGGUGAGCACGCUACUGCUUGAGCCACAUCCCCAGCCCCCAGAUGGUUCUUAAUAUAUGGUGUAUGCACAAAGUUAAGGCUUCUAUGUUAAACAACUUAGGACAUUCUGAAUAAAUAUUUCUAGUGAGCUGUUGAGGUUUUCUUUUUGUUUGAUGUUGGAAAUUGAACCCAAUGCUAAGCAAGAGAAUACUACCACUGCAAUACACCCUAAAGCCCCCAGUUUUUAAAUACUUUUGUCCUUUUAUUCAUACCGAAGCUGGAAAAUAAGAAUAUGAGUCUGCUACAUUAUGAAGUAUAAGUUUAAGCAGGCAGGUACUACCUUGAGAAACCACAUGGUGAUGAAAGUGGAAUAGCAGAAGGGUUAGUCAAAGGUGUGAUGAAAUCUUUUGAAGUUCAUGGGGUCUGAUUGCCUAGAAUACUUGUCUAUCCCCUGAUGAAAGUAGAAAUUUGUGCCAGGUGUUUCCAGAGGCUGAGGCAGGAGGAUCAAGAAUUCAAAACUAUUCUCAGCAACUCAGUGAGACGCUGUCUCUAUAUGAAAUUAAAAAGGGCUGGGGAUGUGGCUCAGUGGUUAAUUACCUCUGGGUUUAAUUUCUGGUAACAAAAAAAAAAGUAGGAAUUUGCCACUUUAAAGAUCAUGUAGUGUGUGUGUUUUUUUUUUUCUAGUUUGUCUCCUAUGAGGUUUAACUGCUUAAUUGAGAAAUCAUGUUCACCUACUAAUAACCCAACAACUCUCCCUUUUUCCUGGGUAGUAAUAGAGAGAUGGAAACAUUUUAAAAUUGCAACUGUCAAUAUUCACAUUGUAAGAACAGUAAACAUUUCAAACUUAAUGUUCUACAAGUUGGUGUUUUUUUUUUUUUUUUUUUGGAGGGGGUUGUAAUGGGGUUUGAACUGAGGGUCACUCAACCACCAUGCCACAUCUCCAGCUCUAUUGUGUAUUUUAGAGACAGGGUCUCACUGAGUUGCUUAGCACCUUGCUUUUGCCGAGGCUGGCUUUGAACUCUCCAUCCUUCUGCCUCAGCCUCCCAAGCCGCUGGGAUUACAGGCAUGUGCUACUGGGUCUGGCAAGUUGGUUCUUUACUAUUAUUCACAGCAGCUUUUUUUUUUUUGGGGGGGGGUGCAGUAUUGGGGAUGGAAUCCAGGUCCUUGCUCAUGCUAGUCCAGUGUUCUACCACUGAGCUACAUUCCCAACUCUUGUGAGAGAAGAUAUUGCCAAAUUGCCCGGGGCUACCAUCAAACUGAGUCUUCAGAGUACUGGGAUUAGAGUGCCACCAUGCCUAAAGAAGAUUUCAUUUUUAAACUCUUAUGCAUGAAUUUGAUAUGAUUACCAUCAAGCUAAUUACCACAUCCAUCCAUGAGUUUGUGUGUGUCUGAGAAUACUUGUGAUCUGUGCACUUUUUUCUCUUUCUUUUUUUUUUUUUUUUUUGAAUACUUUUAGUUGUAAAUGGCACAAUACUUUUAUUAUACUCAUGUGGUGCUGAGGAUCAAACCCAGUAACUCACACACGUGCUAGGCAAGUGCUCUCCCACUGCACUACAUACCCAGCCAUAUUAUUUUUAUUCCUUAUUUUGAGGCAGGGUCUUCAGAUUACCAAGGCUGGCCUCAAACUAUUGCCUCAGCCUCCCAAGUCUGGAAUUACUUCUUGCACCACUGUACCUGUGUGGUCUUUGUUUUUAUGCCGCUAUCGUAUGUGUUUUGAUUACUAGACCUCUAACUUUGGUCAUUCUCAAGUUCACUUUGCCUAUUUUAGGUUAGUGGAUCCAUUUGAAUUUUUAGGUUGUUUACCAUUUCUGUAAAAAUACCAUUGAUUUUUUUUUUUUUUUUUUUUUUUGGCAGUGUUGCAAAUUGAACCCAGGGCUUCGCACAUGCCCAACAAGUACUCUACCACUGAGCUACAUCCCCAGUCCAUUUCUUUUAUAGUAUUGGAGAUUAAACCCAGGCCUCACAUAUCCUGUGCAAGUGCUCUAUCACUGUAUUACAUCCCCAGCCCUUUCUUAUUUUUGAGACAGGGUCUCACUAAGUUGCUUUAGGGUCUUGCUAAAUUGCUGAGGCUGGCCUUGAACUUGUGACCUCAACCUCCUGAACACUGAGAUUAGAGGCAUGCACCAUAGCUCCUGGCUAAUUUUUUUUUUUUUUUUUUUUGGUCUGGGGAUUGAACUCAGGAGCAGUUAACCACUGAGCAACAUCCCCACCCCGAUUUUGUGUUGACAGGGUCUCACUGAGUUGCUUUAGUGUCUCAUUUUUGCUGAGGCUGGCUUUGAACUUGAGAUCCUUCUGCCUCAGUUUCCCAAGCUGCUGGGACUACAGGUAUGUACCAUCAUGCCAGGCCACCCACCUAUAUUUUGAGACAGUCUUCACUAAUUUCCUGUGGUUGGCCUCAAGUUUAACAUUUGACCUGCCUUAGUCUCCAGAGUUGCUGGGAUUAUAGGCCUGUACCACCAUGCCCAGCUGCCAUUGAGUUUUUUUUUUUGUUUUUUUUUUUUGUAGAUGGACACAAUGCCUUUAUUUAUUUAUUUUUAUGUAGUGCUGAGGAUCGAACCCAGUGCCUCAUGCAUGAGGGGCAAGAGUUCUACCACUGAGCUACAACCCCAGCCCCCAUUUUUUUUUCUUUUUUUAAAGAGAGAGAGAGAGAGAGAGAAUUUUUUUUUUAAUAUUUAUUUUUUAGUUUUCAGUGGACACAACAUCUUUGUAUGUGGUGCUGAGGAUCGAACCCGGGCCGCACGCAUGCCAGGCGAGCGCGCUACCGCUUGAGCCACAUCCCCAGCCCUGCCAUUGAGUUUUUGAUACAGACUGCUUUGGGUGCUUAUGGAUGCUUGAAAAAUAUAAAAUCUUUUUAAUGCAUGGAUGUGGAAUGUCUUUUCAUUUAUUUGUGUCUCCUUUAAUUCAUCAGUAUUAUGUAGUUCUGUGUGCAAGUAUUUCACUCCUUGGUAGAGUUCUUUUAAAUUUUUUUUUCCCUAGUUGUUGAUAGACCCUUAUUUAUUUAUGUGCGGUACUGAGAAUCGAACCCAGUGCCUCAUACAUGCUGGGCUCAGCCCCAGCCCCUGGUAGAGUUCUUUUAAAAUGCUAUUGUAAAGGUGUUAUUUGUUUGUUUUGUUUCAUUUUGGUUUUGGUGUUGGGGUUAGAACUCAGGGCCUUGCACAUGCUGAAUACCCACUUUGCAAUGGAGUUUUACCCCAAACCUGUAAUUAUUUUCUUAAUUUCCAGAUAAUUUGUUGUUAGUGUAUAGGAACAAAGCUUUUUUUCAAAUUUAAAUUUUUUUUUUUGUACUGGGGAUUGACCCCAGGGAUGUUUUACCACUGAGAUGCAUCUCUAGCCCUUUUGUUUUUAUUUUGUGACAGGAUCUUGCUAUGUUGCUUAGGGCAUUACUGAGGUUGCUGAGGCUGGCUUUGAACUUGUGAUCCUGCUGGGAUUACAGGUGUGUAAGGCUUUUGUAUUUUGUUCAUCUUUUUUGGGGGAAAAAAAAAACAACUCUUAAUUUCAUGGAUCUUUUUAUUUUUCUCAACUCAUUUAUUUCUGCUCUAAUUUGGGCAAUUCCAAAUUCUGCUAACUUUGUGUUUUAGUUUUUCUAGUUUCUUUUUUUUUUUUUUUUUUUCAGAGUAGAAAUUAGAAGUUUAUUAAAGGACAGCAGAAAAGACUUCUCCCGGAGGAAGAAGGGGACCCAAGAGGUGGAAUCCCAGUUUUUCUAGUUUCUUGAGGUGUAAAGUUAGUUGGCUAUUUGAGAUCUUUCCUUUUUCAGUACUUGGGAUUCAACCUUGGCUUUGUGCACACUGGCCAAGUGUUCUACCACAAAGUUACACACCCAGCCCUUUUUACUUUUAUUUAUUUUUGGUGCACUAGGUGUUCAACCCAGUGCCUUACAUGUGCUAGGCAAGCAUUCUACCACUCAGGUACAUCUUUGAAGAGCAGAGAAUUUGACAGCAAAUAUGUAGUAAGUACUUUUUUUUAGUUGUUGAUGGACACAAUACAUUUAUUUAUUUUUAUGUGGUGCCGAGGAUCAAACCCAGUGCCUCAUGUGCCAGGGAAGUACUCUACCACUGAGCCACAACUCCAGCCCCAAGUAUAUUUUUCUUCAUUGGUAUCCAUUCUACCCAUAUGACCAGGUAAGUGAAAGAAAAGUUUAAUCUGAAAUAAUCUGAUGUUUCCUGGUUGACUGUAUUUUAACAGACAGCUGGCCCCAAGAUUCUAAAGUGACUGUGGAGUUUGCAGUUUGAACAAGUGCUUCAGCCUGGCAACUUAGCAAGACUCUUUCUCAAAAUUUAAAAAGAGCUGGGGAUGUAGCCCAGUAGUAGACUCCUUGCCUAGCUUGUAUGAGGCUGUUUUCAAUCCCCAGUACACAAGAAAAGGGACUGGCUACAGUGCUUGGGUAGCAUGUGUGAGGCAUUGGGUUCAAUUCUUGGCACCGCAAAUAAAUAAAUAAAUAAAUAUUUAUAUAAAUAUAGUUGUUGAGUGGGAUGACAACAAGUAUGUGAAAGUUCGUGAAACCAGUACUAUCUUUUUGUAUAUAAAUUAGAAAUUUUCUGUAUUGAAAGGUUGAACUAUCAAGAGUGUGAUUUGUGUAACUUGCAAAUGGGUGUGGGAGGUGUCAGGUGUUUUCCUGGUCUGCUCUGUUCCCCAGAGCCCUCUUCAUAGUUAUAGGCAUUUCUAUUGGAAGAGCCUCAAGAAAUCCUGUUUGAGGGUUGGCGUUGUGGUUCAGUGGUAGAAUGCUCACCUAACACACGUGAGUCACUGGGUUUGAUCCUCAGCACCACAUAAAAAUGAAAUAAAGAUACUGUGUGUCCAUCUACAACUAAAAAAUAUUAAAAAUAAAAGAAAACUUGUUUGAUAAAUGCCAGCUUUUAUUUCUUGCCAUCUGACAUUUAUUAAGUUGAUGUUUUUCAGAUACCAGCCCUAGAACCCCAUCCCCAGUCAAGCUCUCAUUAUUCCUCCGGCUUCCUCAGACAGAAAUACCAUCCCUUUGGCCAGCAUCAGAAGUCCUACCUUGCCGGGCACAGUGGUGCACACCUGUAGUCACAGCGGCUCUGGAGGCUGAGGCAGGAGGAUCGCAAGUUCAAAGCCAGCCUCUGCAAAAGCAAGGAACUAAGCAACUCAGUGAGACCCUGUCUCUAAAUAAAAUACAAAAUAGAGCUGGGGAUGUGACUCAGUGGCUGAGUGCCCCUGAAUUCAAUCCCCAGUACCACUCACCCCCCAGAAAAAGGAGUCCUACCUUCCCUCCUCUAAAACCCUAGACUGCUUGAAAAAAACCUCAGUUUUCUUACCUCUAAAAACAGAAUAAUAAAGAUAGUCCACUAAAUGAAUUGAGACAUGGGAAACACAUAGAAAAACAUCUGGAGGUUGGCAUGGAGUUGAUAAAUGUUAGCAUUUCUUGUGUGUGCCAUAUCAUUAUUGGGGACACAGCAACAGAUAUGUCAUAUUUUUUCUCGGGCAUCAUAGAGUUAACACACAGUAAACUAGAAAUUGCUUUAUGAUGUAAUAUUAGGGAGUGGCAAGUCCUAAGAAAAAUAAGCAGUUUAAGUUAGAGUGAGGACACAUGCCAAUUUGUCCAAGGAAGGCAACUGGGAACCAGAGACUUGAACUUAGUAGGCAAGGAGGCUGUCUGCUCUGCAUCUCUACUACAUAGGCCACAUACGUAAGUCAAUCCAUCUUGGCAGAACUUCCUGUGACCCUUGGAACACAGCAUGGAAAGCUCAAGAUGGGAUGCUAGCUAUCAGGCCAUUUCUCACUUGCCUCCCUGUCUCCCAGAGUGUACUGGUCUUACCAGCUUCUAGGGGAAAUAUUUUCUACCUUUCUCUUGACUCAGGGAUAUAGAACUAUAGCUUCACCUUGAAACUGGCUCUGUAGCCAGCUUGUGUCAUGUCAGCCAUGGAACAGUUUCCCUGCUGCCUGAUACAAGGGAUUAGAACUGAACUCUGACAAUUUUGUUUUUAUACUGAUGAUAGAACCCAGGGGCAAUUUACCACAGAGCUACAUCCCCAGUUUUUCAAAAUUGACAGGUUCUCUAAGUUGGUGAACCUGAACUAGAACUUGUUAUCCUCCUUCCUCAACCUCUGGGAUCAUAGGCAUGCACCGCCAAUGCUCUGAUUAUUCUUGCUUUCAUUUUCUUUGUAAGUAACUUUGGAAUCUAACAAAGACUAUUUUACCAGCCAAAUGUGUCAGCCUUGCCUUGACAUCUUAGAAUUACAGGCAGAAGGAAAAGCAGGCAAUACAAAGUCCCUGAGGUGGAAGCUUGCUUGGUGUGUGAAUAGCAAGUAUGUCAUUAGGGCAGGUACAGAGUGAUCAAGGUGGCCAGUGGUAGGACAUGAGGUUAGAGAAGUCUAGGGCCUUGUGGAGAGAACUAUCUUUUCUCUGAGAGAUGUGUCUCUCUUAGGGCAGGGUGCCAUUCAGAGGAGGGCCAUGGGUGACUUGGAUUAAAACAAUCUCUGGCUGCUAUGAGGUUAGGUAGGGGACAGGAAGAGCAGCAGCAGUGAGUCAGCCACUGCAUCAGUCUAGGACCUCAAUGGCAAUGGUAGUGGCAGCAGUGCAGGUAGAAAGGAGAAGUCAGAUUCUGGUAUAUUUUAAAGAAGGAAACAACAGGAUUUGUUGAUGGAUCCAAUGAAGAGGGUGGGAUGAGUAGUACUAAUUAGGACUCCAGACUAGAAGAGCUUACCCAGAGCCACUUGGCAGUUGGUGUUAAUAGGUUAAGAGGAAGGAUUCUGGAGCCUGGUGGUAUGGGUGUGAAUCCAAUUUACUGGCAGUGUAACUUCAGGCAGGUCACUCUCUAUUUGUCUUCAUUUCACCAUCUGUGACAUGGGAUGAUCAAAGUACUAAUCUCAUAGGACUGAGGACUAAAUGUUUUCUAGUUAUGUAAAGUACUUGUUAUUAGUAACAUUACUAUAUGAUGAAGUAAGUGCCUCAAAAAGAGCAUUCCAGAUAUCAGAAACAGUUUUCAAAGGAUAUGACAGCCAAUGUGGCUGAAGUCUAGACUGAUUGAGUGCUAAAGAAAUGCAGGUAGAGAGAAGGCCUAAGAUUGGCUUCUCAUAGAAGCUGGAAGCAAUUUUGGACUUCAGAGGUGAGAAGAGAGAGAGGGAAAGGAAAGUGAUGGGGGUCUUUUUUUUGAGUAUAUUUUUAGCUGUAGAUGGACACAAUAUCUUUUUUAUUUUUUAUGUGGUGCUGAGGAUCGAACCCAGUGCCUCAUAUGCUCCAGGCAAACACUCUACCACUGUGCCACAACCCCAGCCCUGAUGUGGGUCUUAAAUCUGGGAUGUACAGAGGAGAGAGAGCACUAUUAUCAACACUGUUGGCUAGGACCCAGGAGUGGGGUGGGGGUGGGGUGAUGGUUUCUGGUGUCCAGGAUAAGGAACUUAAGUUCAACUUCUGCCUGAGUCCAAAUACUGGUGUAAUAUUUUCUGUCAGUGGCAAUAGGCAGUAAAGCCCUCAGAUGACAGUGUAGUAAGUGUUCAAUGAAUGCAGUCUGUCACCACAAUCAUGGAAAAUCCAGGAUGGCUUAACACUUAAAAAAACGCUUAAUGGGCUGGGGUUGUAGUUCAGUGGUAGAAUGCUUAUCUAGCAUGUGUGAGGCACUGUGUUGGAUCCUCAGCACCAUAUAAAAAAAUAAUAAAAAAUAAAUAAAUAAAGGUCUUGUGUCCAUCUACAACUAAAACAUUUUUUUAAAAGCCCAACUGUUAUAAAGCAUGAGAUGUAUGUCCUCCUGAUUCAGUUUGGGCAUAUCAUAUGUCCCUAGAAAUUUGUCAUUGUCCUCAAGAUUUUUUUUAUUUCAUUAGAGCUUAAAUUUUCAAAAUAGUUUAUAAUUGUCUUCUGUAUUUCAAUAGUGUCUGUCGUGAUAUUUCCUUUUUCAUCACCUUUUGUUAGGGUGACUAAGGGUUUAUCAAUUUGAUUUUUUCAAAGAACAAGCUUUUGGUCACUUUUUUUUUAAAUGUUUCAAUUUAAUUGAUUUCAGCCCUGAUUUUAAUUAUUUCCUGUCUUUUUGGUGUCGAUUUUAUUCUUUUUUCUUCUUCUAGGGCUUUGAGAUGUAAUGUUAGGUCAUUUAUUUGCUGAUUUUUAAAUUUUUUUAUUCUUUUAAUGAAUGAGCUCAAUGCAUGAACUUUCCUCUUAGCACUGCCUUUUUAGUGUCCUAGAGAUUUUGAUAUAUUGUAUGUGUGUUCUCAUUUAUCUCUAAGAAAAUAUUUUUAUCUCCUUGCUGAUGUCUUCUGCUAUCCUUCCCCAUCUGAUAGUAUAUUAUUUAGUAUCCAGGUGCUAGAGUACCUUCUAUUUUUUAUUUUAUCAUUGAUUUCUAAUUUCAUUCUAUUAUGGUCUGAUAGAAUGCAGAGUAGUAUCUCUUUUUUUUUAAUUCACUAAGAUUUGCUUUGUGGCAUAACAGGGUUUAUUUUACAAAAGGAUUCAUGUGCUGCUGAGAAAAGCGUAUUCACUCAUUGAAGGAUGAAAUAUUUUAUAUGUCUGAUAAGUCUAAAUUAUUGAUUAUAUUAUUGAGUUCUAUAGAUUUUUGUUUAAUUUUUGUUUGGAAGAUCUAUCCAGUGGUGAGAGAGGUGUGUUAAAGUCACCCAGUAUUAGUGUGUUGUGUUCUUUUUGAUUCUUGAAAUUGUACGUAGAUGCUCCAUUGUUGGGGGCACAGUGACACAGCCACAUUAAUGUUUAUAGCAGCUCAAUUCACAAUGGCUGAACUGUGGAACCAACCUAGAUGCCCUUCAAUGGAAGAAUGGAUAAAGAAACUGUGGUAUGGGCUGGGGUUGUGGCUCAGCAAUAGAGUGUUUCCCUAGCUCGUGCAAGGUGCUGGGUUCAAUCCUCAGCACCACAUAAAAAUAAAUAAAAGUAUUGUGUCCAAGUGCAACUAAAAAUAUUUUUUAAAAACUGGUAUAUAUACACAGUGGAAUAUUACUCAGCAUUAAAAGAGAAUAAAAUCAUGGCAUGAUAAAUGGAUGGAGUUGGAGAAUAUCAUGCUAAGCAAAAUAAACCAAUCCCAAAAAACCAAAGUCCAAAUGUUUUUCUGAUAUGUGGAUGCUGAUCCAUGGUGGGCUGGGACAAGGGAAGAAUGAAGGAACUUUGGACUGAGCAAAGGGGAGGGUGGGAAAGAUGAUAAAAUGAGAGGGACAUCAUUUCCCUAGGUACAUGUAUGUUUGCAAGAAUGUGG
rnacentral:lncRNA from 1 species